ensembl:snRNA U6 U6 spliceosomal RNA
GUGCUCACUUUGACAAUACAUAUGCUAAAAUUAGAAUGCUAUAGAGAAGAUUAGCAUGGUCCCUGCAUAAAAUGAUAGGCAAAUUAAUAAAAUGUUCCACAUUUAA